AACCGCUCUUUUGCUCUCAACUUUUCCCCACACAAAAAAGGAGAAGAAAAUAAUAGUGUUCAACCGCAAAAGAGAAUUUCAUUAUUUUUUGUGCAAAAGGCCGUUUUGAGAGGGGAAAGCCGGAAAGUGAAUACGAAAUGUCGGCUUGAUUUUUUUGUUUAUUUCGUAUAAGAUUUUAAAGUUGAUUUUUCGGUUACAAAGUGAGCGUUUUAACUCAACAAUGGACGAACAAAAAAUAAACAUUUGAUAUUUUACUAUUUCAGGUGUAACCUGUUUGCAAGAAUAACUGAUAUUAGACUAGUCUUGAAAGACGUAAAUUUACUCACCACUACUCGCAUCAAGCACAAGUUUGAAAGAGACAGAAUUAUUCAUGAUGUCUUCAUGAUGCCGGACCCUGGCACUCGAAGUGUAACCAACUUCAGACAACUCCGCAGCUCAUGCAUGGGCAUCAGCUGUCUGUUAGUUGGCUAAAUGACAGUCCAGAUUAUUGUUUACAAGAGUGCGGAAGCAUUUUACCGAGAGUAAAAGCGAAAAAAGAAAAUUAGUAAUGGAUUUCAUACGUAAUUUGAUCGCAUUAUAUUUUGCUAGAAAAUCACAACCAGCGAUUGUUCGUGAACUCGAGCACCGUAAAGUAAAUACAAUUUUUUUAUGGCGUAAUUUUUCGUUACAAUUAAACUGGUAGCAUCUCGAAACGUCAUGAAGGUGGACAUCAAAAGACUGCAACGUCACGUGAAAUGGUUCAAAAAGUGAAGAAGAGACUUGAGCCAAAUCCCCGACUAAGUGCCAAUCAAAUGGCGAAUGAACUGAAAAUAUCUGACUGAAUGCUAGCCGCAUACUGAAAAACGGUCUCAAAGUCAAGCCUUAUAAGAUCCAAAAGGCUCAUGAUCUCACACCAAAGCAGCAACAAGUCAGACUUGAGAGAGCGAAGGAGUUGCUUCGCUUGGCCGAAAGCGGUAAAUUUCCGAACAUUGUGUUUUCUGACGGGAAAAUUGUUCAAAUUGAGCAAUUCGUAAACUCCCGAAACGAUAGGGUUUAUUUGACCGACCGUUCAUACGAGAAUCUGAGUCAUCGAUGGCCACCAGGAGCCAGCAUCCGCCACAGGUAAUGGUUUUGACCGUUGUAAUCGCAGAUGGGCGCUCUUUAAUCAUGUUCAGCGAACCUGGCGUCAAGGUAAAUGCGAAAUAUUAACGGGAAAGUAUUCAUGGAGGUUGCUUUGAAGAUCAUGGAUCAUGGACGUUUCAACAGGACUCGGCACCGUCUCUCAAAGCUCGAGUGAACCAAAAAUGGCUAAAAAACAACGUUCCGAACUUCAUAAUGUCCACUCAAUGGCUGUGUAAUUCACCAGACACGAAUUAUUCUCUGUGUGCCAUUUUGGAGAGGAAGGUCCGAACUAAAAGAUUCACCAGUCUCGAAGCACUGUAAAAAGCUAUUGUCCGCGAGUGGACCAAAAUACCUGCAAGUCACAUUCGAUCAGCUUUCGAUUCGUUUCUGGACCGUCUCAAGGCCAUAGUCGAGCAAAAGCAUACUGAUUCUUAAUUUUGUAUUAUUUUCACACAUUUUUUACUUUGAAUUGAAUAAGAGUAGUUUUCCAAACUAAAUUUAAUUGGUUACACUUCGAGUGCCGAACCCUGCUUAAAGAGCAUUCUGUGGGGCCACGUACAUCCACAAUUGCUGCAAGAGAAGAAGAACUGGAAACUUAUUGUGAUAAUUCACGAAAAUCUGUUCGGCAAGCGUCAAGAGCGAUAGGCAUUUCAAAAUUGAUCAAAAUAGGUAUCAAUUUGAAUGUUUGCGCUGCUGACUAAAUAAGUAAAUUCUACAUUUAUCGCCUUUAAUUUGUAUUCACUAACCGAUUAAUUAUAAUAAAUAAUGAAAAAAAACCUGAGUACCCAAAACGGUAUGUAAAAAAUGAA